UAGUGAACGACCUGCAGUUAUUUUCUGCAGGUCCUUCUCUCCUCUCCCUGACCGUGUCCUCGUCCUGUGGACGCAGCUUGUUUAUUUUUCCGUGUCACCUUUCUCUGUCUGUCUGUCUCUUUGUCUGCCACCUCCUCGGGCGGCAGCGGGCACAUGAAGUCAUCAGCCUGCACUGACGUCAGCUACUCCAACUCUGCAACAAAGCCAACAGUCUGCAAGAUGUUUACAAGCCUGCCUUUCAUUCCUCUGAACCGUUGGUUAUACAAGAUUUCAGAUCUCUCUCCCCCUCUCUCUCUCUCUCUGUGUGUGUCAGUGUAUGUGCAUGUGUGUGUGUGUGCAUGAGCUUCUCUAAAUGGGUCAUGUGUGUUUGCACAACCAGACGGAGGGCAGGAAAGUGGGUUGAGCAUGGGGGCAAGGGUUGGCAUCGGUAGAGCUGAUUGUUUCAAGGCAAGAAGCAAUAUCUUGUUCCAGCCCAGCAGUCAUGAGGCUCUGUUGAAUUUGUCAAGGUAAUUAACAAUCUCCACUGACAGAUUUGAGCCUCUCGCUCAAGUCCCCCCCCAACCCCCCCUUUUUUUUUCUUUUUCGUUCGCCUACCACUGUAUGUUCUGUGUCACGUACUCAGAUCCUCUUAGGCUGACUGCUUGACACUGUGUAAAUCCUGUGCUUGGCCGAGUCCCCUCCAGUUCACAAAACCCACACUUGCAAGCCGCUCAGUUGUUUCCCAUUUCUGUUGCUCAAAGUUGCUGCGUGACCUUGGGUCAAAUGACAGGAACAAGCACCCUGUUCAAAGGAAGUGAACGCAUAUCCUGUUGACGUCACGAUCUUAUGUCCACUUUGCUGUUUCUCUCGGUUGGAAAACAUUACAAAUACUACUCCGCUGGACAAACACCUGGAAAAAUUGCAAGGCCCUGACAAAGGAGAUGAGGAAGUUGGCAGGUUAGUCAGGAAGUUUACUCGCAAUUUCCACCGAAGUUUCUCUCUCUGCCCUGAACGAAAAUCCAUUGGCCUGUAAAAUAGGCUGGCUACAGCUCUCAGGGGGCAUCGAGUGGGAAAACCCUUUCACUCAGUGGCAGCGUGGAGGCAUUGACGUACGAGAUGGAAGAAGAAAAAAAAACACAUGAGAGGACGGAGGCUCCCAAAAACAGAAAAGCUCCUGAGUCAGAUACGCAUCUCUGCAGUCAUUUGGCGUAAACACACACUCAAACAUUAAUUCACGCACACCCCACGCAGUCGUUUGUGUUUAAUUUUUUUUUUUCUCACACGGAUAUUUAACAUUUGUUGCAUGAAAUCAAACGCACAGCAGCGCAAUCUGCCACUUAGCUGCUACUGUACAAACCGACAGAAGCCUGUGUUUAAUAGCAGCUCUGUGCGAGAGCCGGGCACAUGCUGCACAGUGGUCUCACUCACACACGACGCCGGGCUUAUAGACUCCGGUGUUUGUGAAAACGGAGACUGAUGCAGUUACGUAAGCCUGCGGUAUGCGAGGUCACCGAUGGCAGGUGACACAGAGUGAGGUUAAGGAGAAGUUUUCAGGAGCCACCGGAGCCAUGGCCGACUGUGCUGCUACUUCAAAUGUCAGCAUGUUGCAGGUGCUAACUUUUUGACACAUUAGCUGAAGGAGCAGAGGAUUGGAUCUCGGAUCUUGGUUAAAGGCGGAGUUCAGAAAAUCCUGCCUGUCCCCCGAGAGACACCUACACACAGCCCGGAGAGCAGCGUCUGUCUGGACAAGCUGACACGGCAGCACAGUCUGACUCACAGCAGCUCUACGCUCCGUCUAAUGCACCACCUCUGCCUUUCACUGCACAUCAGCGUCAAACUCUUCUCAGAGCCACGGCCGGGCCUGUGUGCUUUCGUAUGUGUGCGUCUGCGUGCCGGUGCAGUUGUGCUCCUCUGACCCAGUGAUGUUUUUUUUUUUCCUGUUUUUUUUUUUUUUUUUUCCAUGGAUAGUGUCCGCAUUCCUAACUCUGUUACUCAAGAAGCGAGCAAAAAGUGAUGUAAAUGUGCCCAACCAUUAUUUUUACAGUUCCAGAUUCCUGCGUGGCUGGCUGUGGAUGGAUGUGUGUUAAACCUCAAGAAGCAAAGCAGUGCAGUCCCAAAAAAAAAAAAAAAAAAAAAAAAAAUUUUUGGAAA